UUUUAGAAUACAGUUCUAGAGAGUUUUUGCUCUGAAGAGAUCUAUGCUGAAAGGCUCUGCUCUGAGGAGCAGGUAGGAGAGAAGCCGUAAUGCUGUUCUAAAGGAGGCUAUGGUGGAAUAACUGUUUGCUCAAGCAUUCUGGGACUGCAUCCAAUUACAAAGAUUACAGAGCGAUAACAAACAGAAGUUUCAAGGCAGCUGAACUCCAGGGGCAGCAAAACAGAUCAUAUUCCUUUCACUGGCAUGUACCUUAACAACUGCCUUCCAUGAAUUAAAGCCCUGUUAAAUUAUUCUGUAGCCAGGUGGGUUUGAAAAUAAAAAUAAACCAAAUGCUUUAGCAAAUCCCUGCAGCAUCAUCUCAGAAUAAAACUACUAAAUGUGAAUCUUUGUACAUUGAGAGAAAAAGCAGACACUCCCGCCCACCAUGCAAAGAAAUGCUGAAAGGCUAUUGUGAUUAUUCCAAGUUGUAUCUUUUACCACCUGUUUAAUAAUGAGGAUGCAGUGGAAAUAUCAAUAACUGUGAAGAUG
rnacentral:lncRNA from 11 species